rnacentral:rRNA from 1 species
GAUGAACGCUAGCGGCAGGCCUAAUACAUGCAAGUCGAACGAGAUUAAGGAGCUUGCUCCUUAUGAAAGUGGCGCACGGGUGCGUAACGCGUAUGCAACCUACCUUAAUCAGGGGGAUAGCCCGAAGAAAUUCGGAUUAACACCGCAUAAAAACACAGGAUAGCAUUAUCCAAUUUUCAAAUAUUUAUAGGAUUAAGAUGGGCAUGCGUGUCAUUAGCUAGUUGGCGGGGUAACGGCCCACCAAGGCGACGAUGACUAGGGGAUCUGAGAGGAUGACCCCCCACACGGGAACUGAGACACGGACCAGACUCCUACGGGAGGCAGCAGUAAGGAAUAUUGGUCAAUGGAGGCAACUCUGAACCAGCCAUGCCGCGUGCAGGAAGACUGCCCUAUGGGUUGUAAACUGCUUUUAUCCGGGAAUAACCCUAAUUACGUGUAAUUAGCUGAAUGUACCGGAAGUAUCAGGAUCGGCUAACUCCGUGCCAGCAGCCGCAGUAACAC